rnacentral:rRNA from 1 species
ACUGAACGCUGGCGGCAUGCCUUACACAUGCAAGUCGAACGGUAACGCGGGGCAACCUGGCGACGAGUGGCGAACGGGUGAGUAAUGCAUCGGAACGUGCCCAGUAGUGGGGGAUAGCCCGGCGAAAGCCGGAUUAAUACCGCAUACGACCUACGGGUGAAAGGGGGGGAUCGCAAGACCUCUCGCUAUUGGAGCGGCCGAUGUCAGAUUAGGUAGUUGGUGGGGUAAAGGCCCACCAAGCCUUCGAUCUGUAGCUGGUCUGGGAGGACGACCAGCCGCACAGGGACGGAGACACGGCCCAGACUCCUACGGGAGGCAGCAGGGGGGAAUUUUGGACAAUGGGCGCAAGCCUGAUCCAGCCGUGCCGCGUGCGGGAAGAAGGCCUUCGGGUUGUAAACCGCUUUUGUCAGGGAAGAAACGCUCUGGGCUAAUACCUCGGGGUAAUGACGGUACCUGAAGAAUAAGCACCGGCUAACUACGUGCCAGCCGCCGCCGUAA